GCGUGGAUGGUGUAAUGGUAACAUCUAAGUUUCCCACUAAGUGGCUGGGAUUACCCAGAAAAUACUUAGGCCCCGAGUUCGAUUCUCGGUUCACGCA